rnacentral:rRNA from 1 species
ACGCGUGGGAAUCUACCCAGUAGGCGGGGGACAACAGUUGGAAACGACUGCUAAUACCGCAUACGCCCUACGGGGGAAAGCAGGGAUCUUCGGACCUUGUGCUAUUGGAUGAGCCCGCGUGAGAUUAGUUUGUUGGUGAGGUAAUGGCUCACCAAGACUACGAUCUCUAGCUGGUCUGAGAGGAUGAUCAGCCACACUGGAACUGAGACACGGUCCAGACUCCUACGGGAGCCAGCAGUGGGGAAUAUUGCACAAUGGGCGCAAGCCUGAUGCAGCCAUGCCGCGUGUGUGAAGAAGGCC